AACCUAGCACACCUGCGGUGUGUACCUGCGGAAGGAUCAUAACUGGUUAAACUUUAUAAACACCAGAGUUUCAAACUCUGUGUUUGCAAACAAAAAACACCCUUCAAAACAGCUAUUCAGUGUCUGAAUUAACUAGUUUAAUAUAAAAACAACUUUCAACAACGGAUCU
rnacentral:misc_RNA from 1 species